rnacentral:rRNA from 1 species
AUUUUCAGUCCUAAUUACAAAUACCUAAAUAUUAAAAGUUAUAUUCUCCAAACUUAAAGGAUUUGGCGGUAACUUAGUCCAGUUAGAGGAACCUGUUUAUUAAACGAUGAACCACGCAGAAUCUUACCCUUUUCCAUAGCUUGUAUACCGUCAUUAUUAGAUAACUCCCAUAGGAGUAGUUAUUUCAAUAAAUCUUAUUUAAUAUAUUAGAUCAAGGUGCAGCCUAUAAAAGGGAUAAAAUGGGUUACAAUAAAACUUACUUACCACGGAAGAAAAAUAGAACUAUUUUUCCAAAGGCGGAUUUAAUAGUAAGAUUAAUUUAAUAAGUUAAUCUGAUAAUGGAUCUAAGUUAAGUACAUAUCGCCCGUCGCUUUCAUCUACAAAUGAAAUAAGUCGUAACAUAG